rnacentral:rRNA from 1 species
AGCGAACGCUGGCGGCAGGCUUAACACAUGCAAGUCGAGCGGGCAUAGCAAUAUGUCAGCGGCAGACGGGUGAGUAACGCGUGGGAACGUACCUUUUGGUUCGGAACAACUGAGGGAAACUUCAGCUAAUACCGGAUAAGCCCUUACGGGGAAAGAUUUAUCGCCGAAAGAUCGGCCCGCGUCUGAUUAGCUAGUUGGUGAGGUAAUGGCUCACCAAGGCGACGAUCAGUAGCUGGUCUGAGAGGAUGAUCAGCCACAUUGGGACUGAGACACGGCCCAAACUCCUACGGGAGGCAGCAGUGGGAAUAUUGGACAAUGGGCGCAAGCCUGAUCCAGCCAUGCCGCGUGAGUGAUGAAGGCCCUAGGGUUGUAAAGCUCUUUUGUGCGGGAAGAUAAUGACGGUACCGCAAGAAUAAGCCCCGGCUAACUUCGUGCCAGCCGCCGCAGUAAAAC